UACCCUCGUGAUUAAGGCGACACCUUUUUAAAAUCUCAUUAUCGUCAAACGUUUCUAAAAUGUUUCUGCUCCGAGGCAGACUUCCAG